UACGGAGGGGGCAAGCGUUAUUCGGAAUUAUUGGGCGUAAAGGGCGCGUAGGCGGCUAGAUGUGUCAAAGGUGAAAUCCCUCGGCUCAACUGAGGAACUGCCUUUGAAACUGUCUGGCUUGAGGCCGGGAGAGGGUAGCGGAAUUCCCAGUGUAGCGGUGAAAUGCGCAGAUAUCAGGAGGAACACCGAUGGCGAAGGCAGGUCUCUGGGCAUUAACUGACGCUGAGGAGCGAAAGCAUGGGGAGCGAACAGG
rnacentral:rRNA from 1 species